rnacentral:rRNA from 1 species
AGAUCGUUUACCGUGAAAAAAUUAGAGUGUUCAAAGCAGGCAGAUCCAAUUUUCUGCCACCGAAUACAUUAGCAUGGGAUAAUGGAAUAGGACCCUGUCCUCCUAUUUUCAGUUGGUUUUGGCAGCGCGAGGACUAGGGUAAUGAUUAAUAGGGAUAGUUGGGGGCAUUAAUAUUUAAUUGUCAGAGGUGAAAUUCUUGGAUUUAUGAAAGAUUAACUUCUGCGAAAGCAUCUGCCAAGGAUGUUUUCAUUAAUCAAGAACGAAAGUUAGGGGAUCGAAGACGAUCAGAUACCGUCGUAGUCUUAACCAUAAACGAUGCCGACCAGCGAUUAGGAGACGUUGAAUACAAAACACCACCAUCGGUGCGGUCGUCCUUGGCGCGUUGGUCUUCAAAAGCCAGCGCGCGGGGGCGGCUUAGCCCGGUGGCACCGGUGAAUGACUCCC